UGGGGAAUAUUGCACAAUGGGCGCAAGCCUGAUGCAGCGACGCCGCGUGAGGGAUGAAGGCCUUCGGGUUGUAAACCUUUUUCGCUCAUGGUCAAGCCGCAGCUUUGGGUUGUGGUGAGGGUAGUGGGUAAAGAAGCGCCGGCUAACUACGUGCCAGCAGCCGCGGUAAUACGUAGGGCGCGAGCGUUGUCCGGAAUUAUUGGGCGUAAAGGGCUUGUAGGCGGUUGGCCGCGUCUGCCGUGAAAUCCUCUGGCUUAACUGGGGGCGUGCGGUGGGUACGGGUUGACUUGAGUGCGGUAGGGGAGACUGGAAUUCCUGGUGUAGCGGUGGAAUGCGCAGAUAUCAGGAGGAACACCGGUGGCGAAGGCGGGUCUCUGGGCCGUUACUGACGCUGAGGAGCGAAAGCGUGGGUAGCAAACAGG
rnacentral:rRNA from 1 species